GUGGGGAAUAUUGGACAAUGGGGGAAACCCUGAUCCAGCGACGCCGCGUGAGUGAAGAAGUAUUUCGGUAUGUAAAGCUCUAUCAGCAGGGAAGAAAAUGACGGUACCUGACUAAGAAGCCCCGGCUAACUACGUGCCAGCAGCCGCGGUAAUACGUAGGGGGCAAGCGUUAUCCGGAUUUACUGGGUGUAAAGGGAGCGUAGACGGCACUGCAAGUCUGGAGUGAAAGCCCGGGGCUCAACCCCGGGACUGCUUUGGAAACUGUGGUGCUGGAGUGCAGGAGAGGUAAGUGGAAUUCCUAGUGUAGCGGUGAAAUGCGUAGAUAUUCGGAGGAACACCAGUGGCGAAGGCGGCUCACUGGCUCGAUACUGACGCUGAGGUGCGAAAGCGUGGGGAGCAAACAGGAUUAGAUACCCCAGUAGUCC
rnacentral:rRNA from 1 species